rnacentral:rRNA from 1 species
AUGAGGUCAGGAUGAAUGGAAUAACCGGGUUUAGCUGUCUCUGUGUCACUAUAUUGAAUUUACUAUCUAAGUGAAAAAGCUUAGGGUUAAAAAAGGGAGGAGAAGACCCUUAGAAUUUUUUUUAAAAGAAAAUAAAAUUUUCUUACAAUUUUAUUGGGGCGAUAAAGAAAUAAUUAAAACUUUCUUUUAUUACAAGCCGAUUAUAUUAAGUGAGAAUAAAUUACCUGAGGGAUAACAGCAUAAUUCUAUAAAUGAGUUUGUGACCUCGAUGUUGGACUAGGAAACUAGCAGGCUAGCCGUUUGCUGUGUUAGGUUCUGUUCGAACUUUUAUUCCUACAUGAUCUGAGUUCAGACCGGCGUAA